AUGCUAUUAGCUAUUCUGUUGAUUCUUCUCCAAACAGGAACCACCGAUUUACAAAUUUUAUUAACCACUGAAUUUAGUGAGCGGCGCCUUCUAUGGAUUGCUUUUUUCGCCUCUUUUGCCAUCAAAGUGCCUAUGGUACCAGUUCAUAUUUGGUUACCCGAAGCCCAUGUAGAGGCACCUACGGCUGGAUCCAUCAUCUUGGCUAGAAUUCUUUUAAAAUUGGGAACCUACGGGUUUUUAAGAUCUUCAAUACCCAUGUUUCCCGAAGCGACACUUUGUUUCACUCCUUUCAUUUAUACUCUAAGCGCGAUUGCUAUAAUAUAUACUUCCUUGACCACUUUAAGACAGAUCGAUCUUAAGAAGAUCAUUGCCUACUCCUCAGUAGCCCAUAUGAAUUUGGUGACUAUUGGUAUGUUUAGUCGGGCGGCGGCCGUUAGGUCACCUAUUUUGAGUUAUGGACACACAAGCAAGGCCAAAACAUGUGUGCCGGGCGUGUGGCCCAUCAACCUACUAGCAAUAGGGGAGAAAACUUAG
rnacentral:rRNA from 1 species